ensembl:lncRNA
CAGUUUUCGUCCUUCGGCUGAUUCUACCAGCAGACACUGAAAGGACUCUGAUAGUUCGAGUGAAAGUAGCAGUUCCUCCUGAAGGUCAGAGAUUGCAGCAUCUGAGGGCCUCUUCAAAAGAAGACGUAGUUGAUGAAGGCGUUCUGGAGCAGGACCAGAAAGACCAUGACCAAGCAGCCUUGAGAUCUUAGGCAGCGUCUCCCUCAGGUCCCUCUCUAUCUCCCCACACAUCCACCAACCACUGGAACACAUCUCCAAAGUUCUGCUGGGCCAGCUCAGCUUCCCCUCAGAAGAAGUGGUGCCACCUGCCAGAUGAAGGAGCCUUUUGAGAAGCAGCUGGCAUCGUGAUUGGACUGUACUUUGGUCUGUUCCAAUCCAGCUUCAGCUCCAGAGACGGCAGGCGGGACGAGUCAACGGAGGCCGGGUGGACGAAGGCAUGCAGCUGAGUACAAUCCAGAAAACAACAGAGGAAGAAACAAACAUAGUGUAUACAUCAUAUACUGUAUAAAAGACACAUCCACUGUAGAAUUGUAGUAAUUGUGGGCUGACUGAUUUACUGAUUAUCAGUAUUUUAUUUUUUACUGAUUUACGGUAAUAAAUACAUUUAAAAAUGGUGC